GUGCACCAGGAAAAGGUGCUAUGUCCAUUUUUAUAAGACCGGAUGAAACUCUUAUUAAAACAAUUGUGCAAUUGUUGAACAGUUAAAGGUAUACUAAGAUAUACAUAUCAUAGUCAGCAAUGGAUACAGAAUAAUACAGCUUUCAGAUAAGCUUUAACUGGUUCACUUUGUGACCAGCAGGCAAAAUCAUAUUUGUACUGAAAUAAUCUCUAGCUCUUCUUCAUGCAAGAAAAUCCUCAAAAUCACAGUGCAACAGCUGCAAAAGAAAAAAUCAACAUAAUUGGCAUUCAUGUGUACUCUACCAGUACUAUAGACAAAGAAGUGAGACAUCAUUUUUCUUUUCACCAUUUCUGCCUCCCUACGUGUAGCUUCUGAGCUUUUCAACAUCAAAAUAUAUGUUAUUAACUCAAAGCGCUGCAAGCAUUUUCUUUCAGGCAUUCAUUCCUUUUUCAGCCUGUUAGUCUCGAGAGGAACUCACACUCUGAAUUAUAAUUGAAGAGCUAGUACUGUUUUUUAAAGAGAUUUUAUCCCUUCCUUCGCCAACCCUUCCCUCAGCCUUGCAGAAAGGUGGAAAUGAUUGUGAGCGUAUGAUUUGUUUGUGGAGAUCAAUGUUUAGACUGGAGAUACCAGGACUGACAGUGUGACCUGGCAAUCUGUAGAGAUUCAGAAAGCAGUUACUGCAUGCAAACACAGCCAUUUCCAACAAAGAUAACAUGUACUGGGGCAGGCAAAAGGAAAGUGCUUUCAAAACUCAUUAAAAAAAUGCUUAGCAGAAUUUGCUUUUGUUUCUUCUCCUAUUUGGAGAAGCCAAAGACUCUGAGAAUACCUUCUGCUUGGCUAAGGUUGUAGAAAACAGUUAAUAGAAGGAACCACCAAGAAGCUUGGAACCACUCAAAGUCUGUUCUGAGGCCAAAGUGGUGGAUGCUGAUCUGACCUCAGGUUACCUCAAAGAGCAUCCUUUGCAACAGCUUGUCUGCUAAUUUAAUCCCUGUGGAUGCUUCAGUGAAGACAUGGCAAGGAAUUGUUUUUCAGUCAAGUCCUUAUUCAUGGAACUCUCAGUCUAGCAGGGAAAUCAAGAUGCGAGCUAAUAACAUUGGAUAUUCAGAGUGGAGAACACACUGCUACAUUUGAAUACACUGCAGAGAUAGGGAGGUAAUUGAAAGAGAAGCUGAGUGACUAGCUGAUCUGAGACUAAGGCAUGUGGGAGUCAAGCAUGAAGUCUCCUCUGAAAAGGCUGGCAGCCCAGCAAUAGGGUUUAGUUUAAACAAUACGUGUUUUUUAUCAGUUAAGGAUCACAAGGUGCCUAGAAUGCUGCACCUGACAAUCCCAUAAAAUGAAACAACCAUGAAAUUGUAGGGAUUGGAAGGGACCUCCAGAGAUUGAGUGCAGGCUCCCUGCUAAAGCAGGUUCUCUAGAGCAGGUCACACAGGAGACUCCACAACCUCUCUGGGCAGUGUGUUCCAGCACUCCAUUACUCUGACAGCACAGAAGUUCUUGCUUGCAUCAGUAUGGAACUUCCAUCCUAUGCCCCUCAUUCUACUGCUGCUCGCCAACAAAAAGAGUCCACCCCCACUGACUUGACUCCUGCACUUUAGAUGUUUAUAAAUAGCAAUGAGAUCCCCUCUCAGCCUUCUCUUCUCCCGACUGAAGAGUCCCAGGGUUCUCAGCCUUUCCUAAUACAGCAGAUGCUCCACGCCCUUUGAUCAUCUUUGCUGCCCUCCACUGGGCUCUUUCUAGGAGAUCCCUGUCUUUUUCAAACUAGGGAGCCCAGAACUAGACACAGUGCUCCAGAUGCAGCCUCACCAGGGCAGAGCAGAGAGGGAGGAUCACCUCCCUUGACCUGCUUGCCAUGCUCUGUGCAGUACACCCCAAGAUAUCACUGGCCUUCUUGGCCACAAGAGCACACUGCAGGCUCACCACUCCUCCCCAGCAGGGCAGCCCCUGACCUGUACUGAUCCACGGGGGGGUUAUUCCUCCCCAGGUGCAAGACUCUACACUUGCUCUUGUUGAACCUCAUCAGGUUCCUCUCUGCCCAAAUCUCCAGACCAUCUAGGUCUUGCUGAAUAGCAGCACAGCCUUCCGGUGUGCCAGCCACACCUCCCAGCUCUGUAUCAUCAGCAAACUUGCUGAGGGUGGACUCUAACCCUUCAUCCAGGUCACUGAUGAAGAUGAUUAUGUCAUUCUAUUUUGGUACACUCAUCCAUCAGGAGAUGAUGAAUUGCAGUAACUGUCCUGCGUGCAGAGCCAGCAGCAGCUGAGAGCAGAGUGGGAAGAAAAUACAUCUUAAAUCCUGCUGAUCUUUUAGCAUUGCUUCUAUUAUACAGCCCGGUCUUUGAGCAGACAAGCCAAGCGCUAUCCUGGUAGAUAUCAGAGCAGAGUAGUAGUUUUUAGUAACACAAAAACCUGACUGAACCUGGCUCAUUGUCAGUUUUAGGCACGCAAGCAAUCUCCCAGAGCUGUGCUUGUCAUACCCGUCAGACACCAAGUGCUUUGGUGACACAUGCCUCAGGAGGAAGAGGAGCUCCACAUCUAGCCACAAAACAUGAGUGCUGACGUAAGAAGGGGAACGCAGACAGGUCAGCAGGCAACCUCCUUCAGUAACAGAGUGGCUCUAUUCCAAGGAAAGGACCAAAGACCACAGAAUGAACACACUUUGAUAAUUCUGAAGGCUAAAGGGAAUCAGCAGCUACGGAUAAUAACUCAAGCUUUGCUACUUUUGAAACAUACUGUCAUAAGAGCUAUGAGUACUCUAAGACUAUUUAUUAAUCAUUAGGUGUCUCUGGAUAGUCAUGGCUCAGAGGAACUUACAAACCGUUGAGACAAGCAUUCUUCCUAAAUAAAAACAAAUGACAGUGGAAGUCUGUGAUGCAUUACAGGCAUUCAGAAAGCCAGAAUUGCUAUUGAUUCAUGGUCACAGCGUAGCUGAAACUCAAACGAUAAUUAAUCUGAAAAGAGCAACAGUCAAGCAGGAAGAGGAUCCACGAGUCUUAGCUGCCAUUCCACGAUAUACUACUGUGUCAUUAUGUAAGUGCUUUGGCAAGGCAUGUAAUUCCUCUGUUUACGCAUGUCUGUGAGGUUGUGGCCCUAAUUUACAUGUUGUGAGUAAGUGCUGUGAGAAUGGAGAUGAGUAAAAUCUCCCCAAAAGCAAUGGGAAAAGCGACUGCUUUUUUAUUCAUCAUUAACAGAGCUACUUUGCUUUUUUUAAGCAAGGCAAAAAAAAACCUUCCAGAACCAGGAAUCACCACCUAAAACAAAAGACACUUAGGAAAAGCUGUGCUAUACGGGAAUGGUGAUUUAUUGUGGGUUAGUAUUGUUUGGUAGAGGGUCAUGUGUCUAAACCAAAGCCAGAAAGCCAAGGCGAAAACAAGAAAAACAUUUGCAGCAUGACCCUGAGAAAAAGCAAACACAGGGCUUCUGGGACUGCUUGCCAGCUGGAAAGAGCCUUGAAACGGUGAGCAAAGAAAGUGCCUCCUGUUCAAUUCCUACAGCGUUCAAGAAAAAAAAAUAAUAACCAGACACUGAGUAAAAUCAGAAGCACAUGGGAGAGAAGUAUCACUGAUUUCUCCUCACGUGGGGGACCCAGCACAUCCCGCAGUGCUGGGGAACGAACGCUCUGCCCACCAGGCCCUGGCAAAGCCCUCAAGGCCAGGCCCACAGCGAGGCCUUCUGCCGCUAACAGCACAUCCAGACGAAGGGGAAACAAAAGAGCCACCCUGUUGUAAGACUUCCACAUUUAGAACCCUGGAUUUUGGACCAGAAGUCAUUAUUCAGCCUGAGGCAUUUUCUACUUAGGAGUGUCAGGGCUAUAUUUAAACGGACAGCUCAGUCAAAUGCUGCAGGAAGGGUGAGUGUCACAUUAGCCAAUAAAUAGAGACAAAUGCUCCGUUUUACAUCACUGACCGCCUGUUGCUGAUACACCGCACAAGAUUUACAUAACUUGCAAAAGGGCUGUGCCAGGAGACUCCUGUUCACUCGACCAGCUAACACCACAGCCUAGAAUUCAGUUUUCGCUUUGAUUUCUUCCUGUAUUACAGCAAUCCAAGACAAAAGGUAUUGUAAGAACCAUAGGAGACAGCAAUACAGCUCUUUCUCUUCCUAAUCCACUCAGACAUACCACGGCAUAUUGCAUGUUACAGUGCUGGAAUCAGUAGAAAUGACAUUUUAUUGACAUUAAGAAAGAGAAAAUAAAAGUUCCAAGGGGAAGGUUGCCGCUGUAAUCCUCUGUAAGGCAGCCUGCACCGUGUUUUGUCUGCUUGGCUGUGAAUACGCUUCGAAGGUAGUGGGCUAUUUGUGCACAUAGGCUCUCUGCCAACCUUCUUCCCCUCCCUGUGUCAUAUUUCAUUGCUUGCUUUGCUGUUGGGAAACAACUCCAGUCCUCUGCAGCAUAUAGUUAGCUUUUAACUCAAGAAGAGUACACAUUAGAAAACACACUUGCCACCCUUCUGUGACCACAUAUCACAAAGCUACCCUCCUGCUCCCACUGUUUUGAUCAGCAUGCAGCAGGUUUUGUUUGGGGGCGAGCACUUGGGCAUGCUCCGAUAUACACUGGUAUUUCCACUAGAGAACUAGAAGGAAGCUUCCAGAAACCAAAGAGAAAUUGAAAGUAGUAAGAGCCAAAGUCAGGAUGACAAAGCAAAUCUGAUUGAAGUUCAAGUUCUUCAACGCAGCCAGCCCAAACAGAUAGCCACUGAGAGCCCGGAUGGCACCGCGCUGCUGCAACAGAUACUCACAGCGCUCACAUUUUAGUCACGCUCUCCACUUACACAACCAGCAAAGCAAGCAACGUAUCACUGCUAGCUUUGUUUCAGCUCUUUCCAAGAGACACUGCUCCCCCAGUCAAGAAAAUUCAAGUAUCAGUCUGAAUGCAGUGCUUUCCUUGAGGGCCACUUGCAGAGGUCGCAGCAGCAAAGUGCUCACAACCUGAUUAUUCGCACGUUCUCGAGACUGAGCACUGCUGUCUUUCCACAAUAUGCACAAUAUUUGUGGACUUUACAAAGGAAUGCUGCUAAUGAGACUUUGAGGCCACAGACACGAGUCCCUGAAGUUUGCCUAUAUAUAUUUGCUGUUAUUAUUAGGUCUUUACCCUGGUGCCCUAGAUAUAACUGCAGAGCACCAACUGCAGAUCCUCCAGGGAUGGGAAUGAGGAGCUCAAACUAAGAGGUUAUCAUUUGAAAGCUCCUGCUUACACAUCAACGCCAGCCUUGUUUCACUCCUAGGUGUGACUUGCACCACGCUUACCCCCUUUGCUCCCUGCCAUAUGAGAACAAUAACUAUUAUAAACCAAACAACUUUGGAACUGUAAGAUGAGCAUGCCCAACCCAGCCCGUGCAAUUUACACGACUGAUCUAUCCUAAUUACAGGGAUGGCCGUACUCCUGUUUCUUUCUUAGCACAGCCCUCCAGGUGUCACACUCUCCCAAAUGAAGCAACUCGGCCCUUCCAGGAGGGCAGCAGGACUCUGCCAUGCCCACAGAGCAGGUCUGGCAGGAUUUGCCUCAGCCUCCUGCAAUCAGAAGUCACGCAGCAACAACGUGAGCCUCCUUACCACCAAAGCAGCACUCAGUUUCAGUCCUGAGAGCAAGAUUUUGGAAAGAGGGAGGGGAGAAGGCAGCAAAUAAAGAUUGUAGCUCCGUACCAUCAACCAAACCCACUCCAACUCCGCAAUCCCGCUCCUUCCUCUCCAAAGGCACCACAUGACUUAGGUAGCAAGUGCUUUCCCAGCAAAGUGCUACCAACAGAACAGGAGAAAGUGUUCAAGUCCACUCUUUUGCUCCGUCGUUUUGUUUCAGGCCUCGGGAGCUAAAUUACAAUAGCGAAGUUAAAACCUUCCCUGCUAAUAGCUCUGGAGAUGUCCCUUAACAACUCUUAAGUGCUCGCAAAGAAGCGGUUUAUCUCGACCCACUCUUCCCCUUCCCGUGUUUCUUCCAGACAGCCUUUUGUUAUGUUAAACCAAUAUAUUUAGACAGUAAUUACUCCCAAUUAACUAGGUCACCGCGCAGAAUUCAAAAAUAAAAGCAACUCUUCCAAAUCAAUUCACAAACCAGAGCACUCUUCAUACAACCUAACGGCUGGGCAAGCGAAGAGCAAUAUAUGGGUAAUUGGAAAUGAUUUUUUGCUUUUAAUUGAAUCCGAUUCCUCAUUAUGAGAAGGAAGAAAGCGUGGCACUGAGGCUUGCUCACACCGGCCUCGAGCAAAGCAGAGCAGACGCAGGGAAUUGUAUUUGUGUUUGGUUUUCAACACAGCAGCUCAGAUUUGAGCUAUGGGAAAACAUCCCCGUAACACGCAGGCUGAUUUUCCGAAGAGCUUGUACACACAGAAGAAUUCCACUCCCGUGUAAUUCUUACAUUAGAAAGCAACGACUUGAUAGUUAAAAUUUUAACUAUAAGUGUUAUAGGAAUCCAGAAGUUUUCUUUAAUUGAUAAAGUCUUUGAUGAAUCCGAGUCAAAAUAAGGCAGCCAUUUGUCCUUAAAGUACAGUAUGCAGAUUUUGUUUCUAUGAUCUCCUGGCACCUUUUGCCAACUAUAGGAACAUUCUUCCAGCACUGAUUAUCCUGAGCUGUCAGGAAAAACAAAGGUUCCCGUUCCAGUCCAAUACCAAUUUAGCCUUCAACUUCAGAUCUCCCACCGCAUGCAGCACUUAUAUCAUACCCAGACAGCAACUUGAGGACAUUUAUUAAGUCGAGGAGAAAGCACUUUGACAAAUGGAUUCGGGUGCAGAGCGGCUGUAAUGAAGUGAAUGCCAGGUUACAUUGCUCUCCCUGCAAGGAGCUCCCACUUCAAAGCCCAGCAACUGCGUGGUGUACGAGCACUGAAUGUUGGUCCUGCCCAAAGCAGCUCAGGGGACAUCUCUCAGAAAGAUGCAAUGCAAAGGCUAAGUGACAUAGGAGUACAAUAAAAUCUCAGUAACAUACAGUUUUGUUUAGGAGGCUUUGUACUCUUUCCAUAACUAAAUUCUCAAGCGUUACAGAUCUUGCUCUCAUUGCCUAAAUGCAACAUGCAGCAUGGCACCAUAAUACACCACGAGGUGUCCGUGGUUAAAAACCAAACGUACAAGAGAAGUGAUGCAACAGAUGGAUCGUUUCUUCCUCCUAAAUAAUGGAACUUCUUUAUACAGUACAGGUGGAAGAGACUAAAAACAUAUGUGGAACACAUCCCAGUGAGGCAAUCUGCAGGCCACCCCUUUUUUCUCUUAGUAUCUUCUUUGGAACUGCAUUGAUCAAAAGAGCUUCUGCACUGUUUCUGCAGUAGGGAGCACCUCAAAGCAUCAGAGAAAGCUGAAGGGGAGCAGGAGGGGAGAUAGAAUCAUCACACCACAGGAAAGGCACUUUUGAAGCUAAAUGCAGGUAAAGGUCUUCAAUAGAGACGACACAUGGCAAUUAAGGGGAAAAAAGUCUCACGACAUUUUGAAGGACUGGAAGUGAUUAGCUUUCGAUAAACACCACUUCUGAAAGCCGAAUUUGUAUAUCCAUUAUCUUCAGCCUCGAUCUCUC